rnacentral:rRNA from 1 species
AACGAACGCUGGCGGCAGGCUUAACACAUGCAAGUCGAGCGCCCCGCAAGGGGAGCGGCAGACGGGUGAGUAACGCGUGGGAAUCUACCCAUCUCUACGGAAUAACGCAUGGAAACGUGUGCUAAUACCGUAUACGUCCUUCGGGAGAAAGAUUUAUCGGAGAUGGAUGAGCCCGCGUUGGAUUAGCUAGUUGGUGGGGUAAAGGCCUACCAAGGCGACGAUCCAUAGCUGGUCUGAGAGGAUGAUCAGCCACACUGGGACUGAGACACGGCCCAGACUCCUACGGGAGGCAGCAGUGGGGAAUAUUGGACAAUGGGCGCAAGCCUGAUCCAGCCAUGCCGCGUGAGUGAUGGAGGCCUUAGGGUUGUAAAGCUCUUUCACCGAUGAAGAUAAUGACAGUAGUCGGAGAAGAAGCCCCGGCUAACUUCGUGCCAGCCGCCGCGGUAAAAC